GGUUCAACACCUAAACUGGACUCGGUAGGGGUCCACUAACCAACCUGGCCCAUUUACCAUUAACCCGACCUGGACCCAGUAAGGGUCUUUCGAAUCAAACCAGAUCUGGUGGGGGUCUGAUUGGACUUAGCUCGACCCAAUACGAGCCCACUAUCAACUCGACCCAAAUGGGAACCUGCACACCAGACACGACCCACUUGGGGGUCCAUAACUUGGGUUGGGCCAUUGGGGGGUUCCCUUCUCAAGCUGAAGCCCAAUUGGGGUAACCCUCUUGGCCUUCACCUAAAUAAGCGAGGUUGAGGACCCAAUCCCGCACACACACCACGUCGUGCAAGCGGCAUGGCCAAAAAAGUUGUCUCGCAUGCUCAAGCACAUUCCUUUACAUGCACAGCAUGCAUAUGUGUGCGCUAGACUGCAUAGCACGACAUGUCAUGCAUGUUUGGCCCCCCUGUGUGUGCACAAGCUUCUCAGCAUGAGGACAUGCCAGACAAGUCCCCUACGCUUACAUGCAGCAAGUUAGGGACUGUGUCCCUCGUACACGAUCUAGCAUAGUCGCAACUGAUGCCUUAUUUGGCAACU
rnacentral:lncRNA from 1 species